rnacentral:rRNA from 1 species
UGGGGAAUUUUGGACGAAUUGGGCGAAAGCCUGAAUCCAGCAAUGCCGCGUGUGUGAAGAAGGCCUUCGGGUUGUAAAGCACUUUUGUCCGGAAAGAAAUCCUUGGCUCUAAUACAGUCGGGGGAUGACGGUACCGGAAGAAUAAGCACCGGCUAACUACGUGCCAGCAGCCGCGGUAAUACGUAGGGUGCAAGCGUUAAUCGGAAUUACUGGGCGUAAAGCGUGCGCAGGCGGUUUUGCUAAGACCGAUGUGAAAUCCCCGGGCUCAACCUGGGAACUGCAUUGGUGACUGGCAGGCUAGAGUAUGGCAGAGGGGGGUUAGAAUUCCACGUGGUAGCAGUGAAAUGCGUAGAGAUGUGGAGGAAUACCGAU